rnacentral:rRNA from 1 species
GCAUACCGAUAGAAGCGACCUCGCGAGAGCAAGCGGACCUCAUAAAGUGCGUCGUAGUCCGGAUUGGAGUCUGCAACUCGACUCCAUGAAGUCGGAAUCGCUAGUAAUCGUGGAUCAGAAUGCCACGGUGAAUACGUUCCCGGGCCUUGUACACACCGCCCGUCACACCAUGGGAGUGGGUUGCAAAAGAAGUAGGUAGCUUAACCUUCGGGAGGGCGCUUACCACUUUGUGAUUCAUGACUGGGGUGAAGUCGUAACAAGGUAACCGUAGGGGAACCUGCGGUUGGAUCACCUCCUUACCUUAAAGAAGC